rnacentral:rRNA from 1 species
CUCCUCUCCUCCGGUCCUUCCCGCUCCACCGCUCCCCGCCCCGGUCGUGGCCUCGUGGAACUGAAGAUGAAGAGGAAUGGUGACAUUAAGUCUUUUUUCCGGAAUUAUGAGGCAAAAACAAGAAAGGUUGCAGCCGAAGAGCAACCUGAACCUGAUAUUGAUCCACCUGCAGUCCAUUCGGGUGCAGAGAUUGGCAUUGAUAUUGAUCCACCUCCAGUCUAUUCCGAUGCAGAGAUUGACAUUGAUAUUGAUGAUGAAGCGCCACGGCAACCAUCACCCCAACAUCCACAUGCAAGGUCCUAUAAUAUUCAAAGGCUUCCACCUGAUCCAGGGGAAAGGAUUCCUAUUUCAGAUUAUGAUGUUAAUGAUCAAGACGAAGUUCGGAGACGGUACAUUGCAAAGAAUGCAGUCCAACCAUAUGCACACAACUUUGAAGUCAAGAAAAUGUAUGGUAAAAAUCGACACUUCAACUUUGUUUGGUUUGAGAACUACAAAUGGCUAGAAUAUAGUGUCAAAUAUGAGGCUGCAUUUUGCUUUGUGUGUUAUUUGUUCAAAGGCAAAUCGAAUGGGGGGCCUAAGGGUGAUGCCUUUGUUAAAGGUGGUUGGAAAAAUUGGUAUAAGCCUGAUGCAUUAGACAAACAUGAGGGUGGUAUUAACAGCAUUCACAACAAAGCUCAACAGAAGUACAAUUUAUUUGUGGCACCCCAACCAUCAAUUGAUAACAUUAUGGUGAGGGUGGAUAAAGAGGAUUUGCGUAUGUACAAGGCUAGGCUGACUUAUUCACUUAGAUGCUUGAGGUUUCUUUUGAACCAAGGAUUGGCAUUUCGUGGACAUGAUGAGAGUGAAGAAUUUAGCAAUAGGGGGAACUUUGUUGAACUUCUUAAGUGGCUUGUUUUGAACAAUGCUCCUGGGAAUUGCAUCUUGACUAGUCCAAAGAUACAAAAUCAAAUAAUUGAAUGUUGUGCGGUGCAAACAACAAAAAGAAUUAUUGAAGAUAUUGGUGAUGACCACUAUGCAAUCCUAGCUGAUGAGUCUAGUGAUGCAUCUCAUAAAGAACAACUUGCUCUCUGCAUACGAUUU